rnacentral:rRNA from 1 species
AUUGAACGCUGGCGGCAGGCCUAACACAUGCACGUCGAACGCGUGGCGGACGGGUGAGUACUGUCUGGGAAACUGCCUGAUGGCGGGGGAUACCUACUGGAACCGGUAGCUAAUACCGCAUACCAUCGGAUGUGCCCAGAUGGGAUUAGCUAGUAGGUGGGGUAAAGUCUCACCUAGGCAACGAUCCCUAGCUGGUCUGAGAGGAGGACCAGCAAAACUGGAACGGAAGCACGGUCCAGACUCCUACGGGAGGCAGCAGUGGGGAAUAUUGCACAAUGGGCGCAAGCCGGAUGCAGCCAAGCCGCGUGUAUGAAGAAGGCCUUCGGGUUGUAAAGUACUUUCAGCGGGGAGGCGUUACCCGCAGAAGAAGCACCGGCGAACUCCGUGCCAGCAGCCGCGGUAAUAC